rnacentral:tRNA from 1 species
UUUGAUAUCCUUUUAGUAAGGGGUUACGUUUCGGCCGUAAUUGUGGGAUUUGUUCUCUGUCAAAG